rnacentral:rRNA from 1 species
CCCCUCCCGGGAGGCAGCAGUGGGGAAUUUUGGACAAUGGGGGAAACCCUGAUCCAGCAAUGCCGCGUGUGUGAAGAAGGCCUUCGGGUUGUAAAGCACUUUUGUCCGGAAAGAAAUCCUCCUCUUUAAUACCGGGAGAGGAUGACGGUACCGGAAGAAUAAGCCCCGGCUAACUACGUGCCAGCAGCCGCGGUAAUACGUAGGGUGCAAGCGUUAACCCCCCCCUCCUGGGCGUAAAGCGUGCGCAGGCGGUUCGUUAAGACAGAUGUGAAAUCCCCGGGCUUAACCUGGGAACUGCAUUUGUGACUGGCGGGCUAGAGUAUGGCAGAGGGGGGUAGAAUUCCACGUGUAGCAGUGAAAUGCGUAGAGAUGUGGAGGAACACCGAUGGCGAAGGCAGCCCCCUGGCCCAAUACUGACGCUCAUGCACGAAAGCGUGGGGAGCAAACAGGAUUAGAUACCCUGGUAGUCCACGCCGUAAACUAUGCCCUUUUUGGGAUUAUUCCUUUUACAUUCCUCCCUUAUAAGUUACCGCCGGGAGUCGUCGCAGAU